UUCAAAGUGAUGCAUGUUUACUACCAGUGGGGUGUUUUCUCCCUCUUGUAAGUUAAGUGUUUGGCACCACACGAAGUUGCAGUAGACGGAUUCAGUGCCGGUCUGCCCGUGAGUGACGUCUAACCCUCCGCGGAAACUGCAAGCAAACACAACCAUGUCUCACAAGGUGUCCUCCGCCAUCACUGCUGCACCGUGACCGCCUCUAUUUCCGGGGCCGCAUGUGGAAAACUCCAGGAAUUCUACAAAGGCAGGACUCUCGUGGCUGUUGCCAAACAGCUCUUCCUCUGAAGUCUGAAAGCAGCAGAACAAAUCUCAUCAACAUCAAGGCUGGGACGACAAAAGGGUUUCAGCAGCAGCACCGGGGCUGAUUUCUGUGAGUUGCUGUGUGUCUUCCAGAGAUGUUUCAAGUCUCAAAACAUUGGAGCAAAAGAGUCUUAGCGAAUACUCAAGUUUCCAAAACAAUUCUCAAGUCUUUGAGCAGGAGUCCAGGUCAAUAUUCAAGAUGUUGAGCCAAAGAAUCCAAGUUGUGUAGUUGAGCAAGUCAAUUGUCAAAUCUUUGAGCCAUAGAAUGCAAAUCAGGUCUCAAAUCAAGUGUCUUGUGGUUGUAAUGGACCUUCUGUCAUCUGCAGCAUGCCGUC
ensembl:lncRNA